GUUAUCCAGCCGCGUGGAAUCAACAUCUCCAGCUGAACUGGGGCCGGGAAUUAUAUAAGAAUCCUUAGCAGCAUGAGUGCCAGCCAGUCAUUGCUGUUCUUUGCAUUGCUGAGGAGGACAGUCCUGCCAACAUAACAGUUUGUUCAAUAACAGGAGACAAAUAGAAACACAGAGGUGCUAUACAUUCCGAUGGAAAAGACAACAAAAGCAUCUCCCAUCAUUUUGGCGUGGCUCAGAUCAAGAGGAGAAUUUUAAGAAAGGUGAUGGUUGGGCACACACAAGAAGACAUAGAUCACAGGUGUCCAGGCAUAUGAGUAGACAGGAGUUUCACACUCUGCCAAACUUACUUCUUCAAAGGAGCAGAAAGCUUCUCAAGAUCCCGCACUGCACACUUAGAUAUAGUCUUUGA